rnacentral:rRNA from 1 species
GCUAAGAAUAUUCCGCAAUGGACGAAAGUCUGACGGAGCGACGCCGCGUGGAUGACGAAGGCCGAAAGGUUGUAAAGUCCUUUUGUCGAUGAAGAAUAAGGGUAGGAGGGAAUGCCUGCCUGAUGACGUUAGUCGGCGAAUAAGCCCCGGCUAAUUACGUGCCAGCAGCCGCGGUAACACGUAAGGGGCAAGCGUUGUUCGGAAUUAUUGGGCGUAAAGGGUACGUAGGCGGUUUGGUAAGCCCGGCGUGAAAUCCUGCAGCUUAACUGUAGAGCUGCGCUGGGAACUGCGAAACGUGAGUCAUGGAAGGGGAGUUAGAAUUCCAGGUGUAGGGGUGAAAUCUGUAGAUAUCUGGAAGAAUACCGGUGGCGAAGGCGAACUCCUGGCCAAUGACUGACGCUGAGGUACGAAAGUGCGGGGAGCAAACAGGAUUAGAUACCCUAGUAGUCC